UAUAAUUUAGAUCGCUCAGGGGUGUGAAGGAAUCCACACCCCUGAGCAAUGUAAGUUACUCUGACUUAAGCGCCAGUGUAGACAAUGCUAUGUUGGUGGGAGAGCUUCUCCCGCCGACAUAGCUACUGUCUUUCGUGGAAGUGGAAAGUCGUCUUAGAGCAUCUUCACCAGUGAAGACGAGCCCUGACUGAGCACCAUCCAUUCUGUGCACUGAAUAAGGCAGGGGUCCUCUGGAAAAAAUAGUGCAGGAUCAUGUUAUUGAAGACUGUAUCAUAAUGUAUUAGCAUAAGGGAGCCAUAUUAAGGUUUCACAGGCAACUAUAAUUCUGGUAUGCCCUAAUGUUUCAGUGCUUGACUUGGCAAUCUUAAUAGUCGUCUAUUAAUAUAGUUAUUUGUGUGUAAUAUUUUUAUAUACUGAGAAGACAUAUAUCCUAGGUUGGUUCCUGCAUAAGGGUGGUUUAAAGACUAAACAAUUUUGAGACACAAAGCACAGUGCAAACCAAGAGAUGAACGAUUGUGCAACUAAGGUGACAAAGAUGGAAACUAGGGACAUUUUCUGCUUCCCUGCUGAAGAAAGCAAGGAUUGUGGCAGUGACUUCCUCAUCCUAUUAGGAAAAGACUUUCCAUCAAAGAAUGAGGGAGUUAAAUACUGCCUAACUCUGGGAGAAAGCAAACAGACAGCAGGGAGAACAUUUCAUUGUUUAGCUGUGAUGUCACCCAGUCAACACAAAGCCAAGCAUCGUGAAGUCAGCGUUGAGGUUAACACAGUAUUUGUGGGGUGAUGAAGCCUGGCCUGCCUUUCUAGAAGUUUCAGCAGUUCAGUGGAGUGGGAGUAGAAUAGCUGGGUGAAUCUCAUGGCAACAGAGACACACACAGCAACUCAGGCAGAGAGAGGAAAAAGAGAAAUUAUAAAUUAUAAAGAAGAGAUUUAACAGGCCACAUGAGAGGAAAAGAAGAGGAACCCAGAGAAGUCCAUGGGAACAGGUAAGUUUUUGGGUGGAGAAAGUUUGUGCGUUUGUGUAGCACAAACUGGGGGAACCAAGUCAUGGAAAUUCCUUAAAUCAAUGGGUCUGAAGAUUUGUCCCCUUUCUGAGAGCUGGGGAGAUGGUGCUGCGAGCUGCAUGGAUCCUGGGAUUAUGACUGAGAUAUUUUUCUCAUUGCAUUGGAAGACCAGAAAAAGAAAAUAAGACAUUAUAAAGAAAACAGACAAGUUGUUCUAACUGCUCUGGUACAGAGGGAAGAGAAGGGCUUUAGAGCCCUGGGGAGUUUGUCUGGGAGAGAUUGCAUGAGAGAGAGUAGGAGCUUUGAGUGUGGCUAGGAGUUUGGCCGGGACAUCUUGGUGAAGAGGAAUCGGUGGAUUCAUGAGUCCCCUAGGGUUUGGUUUAGGGAACUGUUGCAGGCUGUGUUGGGGAACUGAGUGAGUCUGCUGAGCCUCUGCAUCUCAAUCUCACAGCCUGACUGGGAAAGUCUCCCUUUCCCUCUUUGAUACAGGAAUUAAAUUAGGUACCUCCCAUUCUGAAGAGAACUAUUUGUCCCCACAAAGCUCUCAGAUGAAGCCCUGGAGAAGUGCAGGGGAUGGAUCCUAGGAAAGUCCAAGCUUACAGGAGACAUUGGGUAAAACAACUCCACUGAAUUCCAGCAAGGAGUGAGAAAUUAGCAGUGGUUGAAAACAAACAACAACAACAUUCUUAUUGGAAUAAGUCACUAUAAUGUCUAUUGACUUCUCUCACUAUCCAUGUUCUCCCAACACACAUAAGACUGGUGGGUAAGGGCUGAGUUCAGUGGGGAUAAACCACCCCUCACUUUCCCGAGGUGGAGGCUUCUCACUGGGUCUAGUUGCUGUGUGGAAUCUAGAAAGCAGGCUUCACCCUUUGGUGACUGUCCAAUUUGUAUCAGCAGAUUGACUGUAAGGGAGGGGAGGGGAAGAGAGGAUAGACAGCAGUGCCCGGUGACUCACAUCAAGCAGGAGGGGAGUGGUCAUGCUGUGUACUACAAAGGACUAGUCCUCUGAUGUCCAGAUCACAGUGGGGAGACAAAAGCUAGCUCUUUGUUUCUAGAAGUGCUUUGGCUUAAUGCUCUGAGUUGAGGAGGAGUGACGGGAGAGUCAGUUGGGGGACAAUGCCAAAUUUCACUUUUGAGAGGGAAAUCAAUGUGCAAUUCUAUGCAAUUAUCUCUGGUGUUUUUUGCCCAACAGGUCUGUGGGGAAUGAAAUAGAUCUUCCUGGUCUUGCAGACCAUUCUGGCUGAAUCAGGCUGAGAUGGGAAAUGCAGAGGCUCUUCAGACUGUCACGCUUUGAGGAUCCAGAGGAUUGUCCUUUGGUUGCAAUUAGAAACCCCAUUGCUGAGUUUUGUGCAUGGAAUUGAUCACUGUGUGCAGUACUUCCAGCUAGAAGCCUUCAAAUACCAGAAAUCAAAUGCUCCCAAAAUCUUGAGAAUAUGUUAAACCUCUUGAUUUUUAAAACAAUCUGCCACAUUGUCAUUCAUCUACCAGUUUUUCAGCAAAUCAAUCAGUAAACUGCUGGCUCUUUCCUUUGGCAUUUUUGGCUGGGGAAAUGCGCCACCACCCCCAUAUAUUCAUCCUGAGGAGUCUACUGUCUGAAUGGAGCUGCACGGAUUUACUCUGGAUCUGGAUUUCAGUUGGAAUCUGUUUGCAUGACUCUAGAGUUUACUUUAAAGAUGAUGUUCAGCAGGAAAAAAGAAAACUCAAUGGACGUCUCAGAUGUGGAUUUUCAGCUUCAUCUGCCCUUAAUCCUACCAUUUUUCUCUGUAGUCCAUAAAGUCUUCAAGUAAAAAAAUAGACAAACCAAAAACAGUGUAAACAAAACCUGAAUUUCUAAUGCAAAACAAAUCUAACAACCACACAACAGGCUGGAAGAAAUCCCUUUCAGGCAGUGCUUAAUUUGUAAUGAAAGAGAUGCUGGGGCCAGGGCCGGCUCCAGGCACCAGCUUACCAAGCAGGUGCUUGUGGCGGCCACUUCGGAGA